rnacentral:pre_miRNA from 1 species
CGGGGGAGGCCGGAUCCUGGGCUGUGUCCCGGUGCCCUGUGCAUUGGGGCCUGCGCUGUUGGAUUUGGCUCCCACCCGGCAUCCCCCU